rnacentral:misc_RNA from 1 species
GAUGAAGAACGUAGCGAAAUGCGAUACGUAAUGUGAAUUGCAGAAUUCAGUGAAUCAUCGAGUCUUUGAACGCACAUUGCGCCCCCUGGUAUUCCGGGGGGCAUGCCUGUCCGAGCGUCAUUGCUGCCCUCAAGCACGGAUUGUGUGUUGGGCCUCCGUCCUCCUCCCGGGGGACGGGCCCGAAAGGCAGCGGCGGCACCGCGUCCGGUCCUCGAGCGUAUGGGGCUUCGUCACCCGCUCUUGUAGGCCCGGCCGGCGCUUGCCGACACAUCAAUCUUUUUUCCAGGUUGACCUCGGAUCAGGUAGGGAUACCCGCUGAACUUAAGCAUAUCAAUAAGCGGAGGA